AUUGAACGCUGGCGGCAGGCUUAACACAUGCAAGUCUAGCGAGCGGCGGACGGGUGAGUAAUGUCUGGGAAACUGCCUGAUGGAGGGGGAUAACUACUGGAAACUGUAGCUAAUACCGCAUACCAUCAGAUGUUCCCAGAUGGGAUUAGCUAGUAGUUGGGGUAAUGGCUCACCUAGGCGACGAUCCCUAGCUGGUCUGAGAGGAUGACCAGAAAAACUGGAACUGAGACACGGUCAGGACUACUAGGGGAGGCAGCGGAGGGGAAUAUUGCACAAUGGGCGAAAGCCUGAUGCAGACAUGCCGCGUGGGUGAAGAAGGCCUUCGGGUUGUAAAGCACUUUCAGCGAGGAGGCGUUACUCGCAGAAGAAGCACCGGCUAACGCCGUGCCAGCAGCCGCGGUAAUUC
rnacentral:rRNA from 1 species